GAUAGUUUAUAUAAAUUAGAUUUAAAUCUGAAUUUUUAAUGUAAUCAUUCAUCUAUACAUGGUGAUAAUAUUGGCAUAAAGAGAAAUAUUAUUAAAAAAAAUUCUUCAAGUUUAUUCAUAAAAGAUUAGUUUAUAUCUCUUUAGAGAGAAUAAAGAUGUUAGUAAAUAAUGAUAUUUUAAAAGAUAUUGAUUUUACUGACUUUGAUACUUAUUUGGGUUGCAUAAAGGGAAAGUAAACUAACAAGUCCUCUAAAGGUGCUAGAAGGAGUUCUCAUGUUUUGAAAAUCAUAUAUAUAUAUAGAUAUCUGUGGAUCAUUUUCUACUUCCUAUUUUAAUGGUC
rnacentral:lncRNA from 1 species